AAUUGACGGCGCGCGCUCGAUUCAAGAUCAAUCAUGGAGUCCAGUCUGUAGAAAUAUUUUGACAUGUCAGGAUAACUUCAUUAUUCAAAAAAUUUACUACAUAGGUGUCACACUAGGGCAUCAAUCAACUUUGGAGUAGGAUAUGAACACAAUAUUUAAGGAGCAGAAGGAUUGAGGAUUAAGUCAGAUAUGGAGCGUUCCUGGAAGUACAGAAGUCCUCUACUCAAAUGUCAUUCAUGGACAGUUCAAGCUUUGUCAGAAAAAUCUUAGGAAAGCCUGUGACAACUCUGGAUUGGUGCAGGAGCGCAAUGACUGUGCAGAGGCCCAUAGUCAGGAAGAACUGGAGGAGUGAAAGGAAAGACACGAGUAUCACAUGAUGAAGAUUGCAAAGGCCAAGGAACGCAGGGCUAUAGGGGUCUACACCUCUGUGGAAGAGCUCGCAGAGUAAAACCAAUCUUCUAACACAGUAUGAUGUGAUUACAGAUGGGAUUCCAGGGAUCACUACUGAUUGUUCAAAGGACCUGAGAAGAAUUUCAUGAGAUUUUAUCUGACAAGUCCUGUUUUAUCUGACAGUUACCAUAGGAACUGUACUUCUCAGCCAAUCAAAAUCAAGGAAAGUUGUCAGAUCUGACAACUUGUAAAAAAAAAUGUUGAUGAAACACUCUCCAGUGGAGAGUUUCAUUUACAAUUGUAAUCCGAUAAACUUGUCAGAUCUGGCAACUUUCCUUGAUUUCGAUUGACUGAGAAGCAAUAUUACUGUGGUAACUGUUGGAUAAAACAGGAUUUAUCCGAUAAAUUAUCAGACAAGUUCUGCCAUGAAGCGCUUUGCUGAGGGCAAUACUUCUGGUCGAAGAAAGUAUGCCUGGUGAAGAGACGACAUUCCAGUGGGAGUUUGAAGUACAGUCAGGAAAUAUCUUAGAAGGGCUGGUCAUCUUUAUGACAAGCAUCGUUUUGACUUCUGUUUGCCACAACCUGACAAUGAAGACUGGCCUCAAGUAUGACCUGGUGGUCUGCUAUCUGAAGUCAGUGGUACGUCUUACAGGACCAAGAUUGAAUUCCAUAUCCAUAUGCAGUGACUGUUUAUCUCAAUGAGUUGUCUUUGACUUUGGUGCCAGUAUUAGUGGUGGAGAUUUUCAUCAAUAUUGGAUCAUCCGAUGGGGUUGAGAAGAUUGCGAAACAGCAGUAAACGGAGAGGAGCAGAAGUUCAAACUCUGGAAUAGCAGUUGCAGUCAGAUCAUCCAGUUCACCAAACCAGACAUCAGUGACUGGGAGAAACUCUGGGAUAGCAGUUGCAGUUCGAUCACCCAGUUCACCAAUGCAGACAUCAGUGACUGGGAGAAGCUCUGGGAUAGCAGUUGCAGUCAGAUCAUCCAGUUCACCAAAGCAGACAUCUAUGAAUGGGGAAAGAAAGUACAGUGGUUCUUUCUAGAUGUCCAUGUUCAACCAAGCUGAAAUGGGUUACCCCAACAGUACUCUUCUCUUCUAAUGGAGAACUCUUGGUUCCAUCAAGAUUGAGGUAUCAUUGUAUGACGACUCCACGACAUCACAGAUCGUUAGGGAGAGUGUUUCUCAGAUCCUUUUCAAAUCAAUCAUGAGUCCAAUGUGGUCUAUGAAGCAAACAUCAUCAAGCCAUUACAACAAGGGCAAGAAUGCUAGAAGAGGAACGAACAGAUUCCAAACUCCUGGUUAUCUUGACAAAUGUGAAGGACAGAGGCUAAAGGAAAUGAUGAAGGCAAUGAAAGCACUGGUCAAAUCACAAAUCAUGUCACUCGGUGUACAAUAUGGAUAUGCCCUAUCUGAUGUUAACCGCCUGCCAAGCACAAAUGAGAGAGAUAAUCUACCAUGGAAAAGGACAGGACACCAAUCUUGAAACCUUCAUCUACUUGAAAUGUCUGGUAUGAGCAGUUACAGGUAUUUACAUGACGUAGGAUCAAACAUUACCAACUGCCUACGAUGAUGACUGCCUGGACUGGAGAAAGCUUGGAGCACAAAAGGAUUCUGAUCAUGGCCAUCCAGCGAAGAUGCCCUUGCUUAUCUGUUGUAUCCUGAUAUAUAAAUCUUGUAUUUAUUUCUUUUUUUACCAGAGCUGAUGACAGUUUUUAUCUCGCCUGCAUAGCACAAACGAGACAAAUGUGCCUUUGAAUGAGAAUUUAGAUUUUGUUCAUUUUUUCAAAAUUAUUUAUUCAAAUUAAAUUAAGCUUUAUGGUUAUUGGUUAUAAAGAAUGGUAUGAAAUUAAACACAACUUUCUUAGUCAUGGUCAAAGGCCAUUUUUAGGGUUGAAAUAAACUUUGGAUUUUAUUAUCAGAUUAAUUUAUGUUCUCUCAUUGAAAAAAAUUCAACUUACAUGAAAGGCUUUUCAUAGGCAGCACUAUUGCUAUAUUGAAUAACAUGAGGCAGGCGAGACUGCCGGGGGCGUUCCAUUUGAUAAACCAAAACAAAUGUAAACAAGUGCAAAUUUUUUUUUCUUUUAUUUUUUCCACAUGUCUAUUUGAUACAAAAAAAUUACGUCCUGUCAAUCAAAUUGAACGAAACAAAUGUCAGUUAAAACUGUAAUAUGCAAAACAUUUUCAUUACCAAAUAUGUGACUUUACGUACAUUCGCUACACAUGAACCCCUUUUUUUAAAUGUGUUUUAUGUUGACUUUUUUGUAGCUGCAAGGGGCAGGUCCAAGCUAUUCUCUUUGCCUACAGUCCAUAGUAUCUUACGUAACCAAUGUGUCAUUAGUGAAUGCAUACUAUGUAGGGGGUGGUUAUUUGGAGUAAAACAAAUAAUUUGUGCUUAAGGUUAGGAAUGAUUUGCAUAUGGUGUAGGCUUUGGGUGUUGUAAAAAAAGCCUUGUGGAUAUUUGUUGAAUUAACUUUGUUUGCAACGUUCUCUUGAAGAAGUUAGUAUUUGGGUUAAUUUUGUGUUGACAAUUCUGCAAAAGUGGAUCCAAAGGUUUUCCAGAGUUUUUGCCUAUUGUGUUUUAUCUCUGGUUUUUUACCCUGGAUCUACUUGUCGUAGAAUUGUUUGACACAAAGACCCAACCCCCCGGGAAAAAAUAAGAUACUGUGAAUAGUACCUUAAUACAUAUUUAUUUCCCAUUAAUAUUAUUAAUAUGUUCUGUACAAUUUUGACAGUUACUUCACCAAAAUUUUUUAUAAUGUAAACAUUUUCAAUUUCAAUUGCUAAAGAGGAGACAAAGGGUAUUUCAAGUGCACGGGGAAUUUGAUGUUAUCAAUCUUUAACUUUUUUUUUUUUUAUUUAGGCCUAUCGGCAACAAGCAAAGUUGUUUACUAACCAAUUUGGUCAAUUAUUUUUAAUUUUUAUUUGACAAUUUCUUUUUAGUAUCUUCUGCAAAUAAAAUAUCAUAUUUCAGAAGUAAAUUCCUCACAAAAAAAUACAUCUUUCAGGUUUGACGGAUGAUAUAUUCUUGUCACUGAACUAUAGAAAUGGAAGUUGGAAUUUUACAAUGAGGUGUCGUCUGCUUUGAUUAUGUAAUCACGGAAUGUGCAGCCACCCUGAAUAGGAUAAAGUCGGAAGUUAAUUUAAAAUGACUUGUUUUCUACAUGAACUCUCCAUUUCAUUUGAAUAUUGUGGUUUAAAAUUACCCAGGUGAUUUGGAAUUUGUGUGAAGUAUAAGCUUCGCAAAUCUUCAAUUUCGAGAAGCGACAAAACCAAUUCUUCUAAGUUGUUUAACAACAAAUGACAGAUUGUUUAUGCUGGCAGGGUCUAACAUUAUUAUCCGCAACAAAUUCAAUGCGACAAAUGCGUUAUGCAAUGAGAUUGAGAAUGCACCAUAUGUGGACUCUCACACAUCUACACCAUUCAAACCCAAUCCAGCCUUCAUUUCAUUUUUACAUGGAUGUUUUUUUACUCGGACUGCACAUUCCACGGUUACAUUAAGAUAGCAAAUUACAUACCACUGCAAAGGGGAAUAAUGACACUUAUAAUAAUCUCAGAUUUACAUUAUAAUGAUUAGGAGGCAAUAAGAAUACCUCUCUGUAACUUAAGUUGUAUAAUUUUUGAGAGGGUUCAUUUGAUUUGUGAUCAAAGACCUAAUAUUCAAACCAUUCCAUAUGCAGCACCCCUGACACUGUAGUCUCAAAGCUUGUAAAGUAGUAUACCGUAGUAGGUUAAAUCAAGUGUUGCUUUAUUCAGUGAUAAAACACUUUAUUAGGUGUUAUUACAAAAAUAGCCAGGGAAAUUUCUUACCUAUUUCUUUGUAUUUUGGCGAUUCCAAGCAAAAGUGGACAUUCUCAAAAAUCUUAUAUUGGCUCUUUUUAAAUAAAGAUAAAAAUUUUGGAUUAAAACUAAUAUGGAAGUUCUAAAUGCAAAGGACGUUCAGCCUAAAAAAAUCUGACUUUUAUUACACAUCUCCUUAUUGGGGAAUCCAAAACGUAGAAAAAUUAUAAAUAUGUGGGACUUUUUACUUCUUUUCAAUUUGACAUCAAGCUAUUGUGUUUUUCGUCAAAUUUUCAUUUGGAUAAUCUGAAGUCCAUCAUUUUACAUCAAAUGAAAAAGAAAUAUGCAAACAUAAGUCAUAAAACAUCAAAUUUAUGGUGCUGGUCUGAAGGACAAAGUGUAAUGCAAGUGAUUCUCAGUAUACAAACUUGACAGAAUGUGUCACCUUUGUAAAACUGACAGCAUUAAGUAUAGAUUCAUAAAAGUCUAAUGCAACUGACCAUGGAUUCGCCCAUUUCUAAUUUUCUGUAGGAUUGGUAAUCAAUAUAAACAGCCUAGAAUACCUUAUUUCAAUCUUUGGAAGCAAACGUAACAUAAUAAUACAUUUAUGAAAUUUUAGCUAUUAACACUAUUUAAAAUGUAUUUGUACAUUUCAAUAAUAUUUUUGUGCAAUUCAUACGUUUCAUAACACUUAUAUGCAACUUGCACCAUUAUUUUGACGUCCUUUUAUAUUUGCAGUUAUUCUGACAGAUUUAUGUCUGCAUGCAGUUAUAGCGACACUGUUUCAAAGUUACUGAAAAAUCCAUUCAACAAAAUAGUUUUCCUGGUAUCUCACGUGUAAUACAUGUAUUAUGAAACAUGCGAAUUUGGGGUCUGGGAUGCACUUACGAAAUGAUGACUUUGACACCCUGUGUGUGUGGAUGUUGCCAGUUCGGUAUCAGAAGUUGCUAGAGACUAAAAAAAAGAAGGGCAUAAAAAAUAUCCUGCCUGCUUUCAAGGGUCAAAUCAAUGUAAAGCCUGUCUGUGUUUAUUUUUAAUUGACAUCAGAAUUAUGAAUUCAACCUUCAUAAUUCCUGACAAAGGUUUAUAGGUGAAAUAAUGCUUUUUAUAACGUAUACAUUAUCUUGGAAGUGUUUAUUGGAUGAUUUUUAUAUGAGUGAGGAACUGAUUAGAUUAUUUUGGUCACAAGGUCAAAGGUCAUGGAGGUCAUUAUUUGAAAUUGUAGAAGUAAGGUCUUUGAUACAGGCCUAUUCUUGCUCUGACAAUGGCAGAGGCAUAGAUUUGGUUAUGUGCAGUUGAUAAUCGAUCUAAUUUCAAUCUUGUUUUUAUUGAUAGGCAUAGGGUUGAAAAAAUUGUCUUUAUUUUAUCAGAUUAUUUU